rnacentral:rRNA from 1 species
ACUCUGGUAUUGAUUGGUGCUUGCAUCAUGAUUUACAUUUGAGUGAGUGGCGAACUGGUGAGUAACACGUGGGAAACCUGCCCAGAAGCGGGGGAUAACACCUGGAAACAGAUGCUAAUACCGCAUAACAACUUGGACCGCAUGGUCCGAGUUUGAAAGAUGGCUUCGGCUAUCACUUUUGGAUGGUCCCGCGGCGUAUUAGCUAGAUGGUGNGGUAACGGCUCACCAUGGCAAUGAUACGUAGCCGACCUGAGAGGGUAAUCGGCCACAUUGGGACUGAGACACGGCCCAAACUCCUACGGGAGGCAGCAGUAGGGAAUCUUCCACAAUGGACGAAAGUCUGAUGGAGCAACGCCGCGUGAGUGAAGAAGGGUUUCGGCUCGUAAAACUCUGUUGUUAAAGAAGAACAUAUCUGAGAGUAACUGUUCAGGUAUUGACGGUAUUUAACCAGAAAGCCACGGCUAACUACGUGCCAGCAGCCGCGGUAAUACGUAGGUGGCAAGCGUUGUCCGGAUUUAUUGGGCGUAAAGCGAGCGCAGGCGGUUUUUUAAGUCUGAUGUGAAAGCCUUCGGCUCAACCGAAGAAGUGCAUCGGAAACUGGGAAACUUGAGUGCAGAAGAGGACAGUGGAACUCCAUGUGUAGCGGUGAAAUGCGUAGAUAUAUGGAAGAACACCAGUGGCGAAGGCGGCUGUCUGGUCUGUAACUGACGCUGAGGCUCGAAAGUAUGGGUAGCAAACAGGAUUAGAUACCCUGGUAGUCCAUACCGUAAACGAUGAAUGCUAAGUGUUGGAGGGUUUCCGCCCUUCAGUGCUGCAGCUAACGCAUUAAGCAUUCCGCCUGGGGAGUACGGCCGCAAGGCUGAAACUCAAAGGAAUUGACGGGGGCCCGCACAAGCGGUGGAGCAUGUGGUUUAAUUCGAAGCUACGCGAAGAACCUUACCAGGUCUUGACAUACUAUGCAAAUCUAAGAGAUUAGACGUUCCCUUCGGGGACAUGGAUACAGGUGGUGCAUGGUUGUCGUCAGCUCGUGUCGUGAGAUGUUGGGUUAAGUCCCGCAACGAGCGCAACCCUUAUUAUCAGUUGCCAGCAUUAAGUUGGGCACUCUGGUGAGACUGCCGGUGACAAACCGGAGGAAGGUGGGGAUGACGUCAAAUCAUCAUGCCCCUUAUGACCUGGGCUACACACGUGCUACAAUGGAUGGUACAACGAGUUGCGAACUCGCGAGAGUAAGCUAAUCUCUUAAAGCCAUUCUCAGUUCGGAUUGUAGGCUGCAACUCGCCUACAUGAAGUCGGAAUCGCUAGUAAUCGCGGAUCAGCAUGCCGCGGUGAAUACGUUCCCGGGCCUUGUACACACCGCCCGUCACACCAUGAGAGUUUGUAACACCCAAAGUCGGUGGGGUAACCUUUUAGGAACCAGCCGCCU